rnacentral:rRNA from 1 species
GUCCUCUUGAUUUAUAAAUUAUUUGAGGUCUGGCCUGCUCACUGAUAUAUUAAAGAGCCGCGGUAUUUUGACCGUGCAAAGGUAGCAUAAUCAUUAGUCUCUUAAUUAGGGGCUUGAAUGAAUGGCUUAACGAGAAAUCAACUGUCUCUUAUUAAAUUUUAAAAUUUAACUUUUAAGUUAAAAGGCUUAAAUUUAUCUUUAGGACGAGAAGACCCUAUAGAGCUUAACAUUUUACUUUUAUAUAAUUUUUAGUUAAUUUUUUUAUAUAAAAUGUUGAUGUUUUGUUGGGGUGACAUGAAGAAUUAAUAAACUCUUCAUUAUAAAAUCAUUAAUUUAUGUUAAUAAAAUUGAUCCAUAAUUUAUGAUUAUAAGAUUAAGUUACCUUAGGGAUAACAGCGUAAUUGUUUUUGAGAGCUCAUAUCGAUAAAGCAGUUUGCGACCUCGAUGUUGGAUUAAGAAAAAUGUUGGGUGCAGUAACUCAAUGAUUAGGUCUGUUCGACCUUUAAAUUCUU